CGAGAGAGGCCUGGAGGCACUAUAUAACUGCUAAUUAACUAGAAUCGUGGUUCGAUACCACGACUCGCUCGC
ensembl:Mt_tRNA